ensembl:snRNA U6 U6 spliceosomal RNA
GUGUUUGCUUUGGCAGCACAUAAACUAAAAUUGGAAUGAUAACAGAGAAGAUUAAUGUGACCCCUACACAAGGAUGAAGAAAUUUAGAAUUUGGGUUUGCUAUC